CCUACGGGUGGCAGCAGUGGGGAAUAUUGCACAAUGGGCGCAAGCCUGAUGCAGCCAUGCCGCGUGUGUGAAGAAGGCCUUCGGGUUGUAAAGCACUUUCAGCGGGGAGGAAGGCGGUGAGGUUAAUAACCUCAUCGAUUGACGUUACCCGCAGAAGAAGCACCGGCUAACUCCGUGCCAGCAGCCGCGGUAAUACGGAGGGUGCAAGCGUUAAUCGGAAUUACUGGGCGUAAAGCGCACGCAGGCGGUCUGUCAAGUCGGAUGUGAAAUCCCCGGGCUCAACCUGGGAACUGCAUUCGAAACUGGCAGGCUAGAGUCUUGUAGAGGGGGGUAGAAUUCCAGGUGUAGCGGUGAAAUGCGUAGAGAUCUGGAGGAAUACCGGUGGCGAAGGCGGCUCUCUGGCCUGUAACUGACGCUGAGGCGCGAAAGCGUGGGGAGCAAACAGGAUUAGAUACCCCGGUAGUC
rnacentral:rRNA from 1 species